rnacentral:rRNA from 1 species
AUUGAACGCUGGCGGCAUGCCUUACACAUGCAAGUCGAACGGCAGCACGGGAGCAAUCCUGGUGGCGAGUGGCGAACGGGUGAGUAAUAUAUCGGAACGUGCCCGGUCGUGGGGAUAACGUAGCGAAAGCUACGCUAAUACCGCAUACGAUCUACGGAUGAAAGCGGGGGAUCGCAAGACCUCGCGCGAUUGGAGCGGCCGAUAUCAGAUUAGGUAGUUGGUGAGGUAAAGGCUCACCAAGCCGACGAUCUGUAGCUGGUCUGAGAGGACGACCAGCCACACUGGGACUGAGACACGGCCCAGACUCCUACGGGAGGCAGCAGUGGGGAAUUUUGGGACAAUGGGCGGCAAGCCUGAUCCAGCAAUGCCGCGUGCAGGAUGAAGGCCUCGGUUGGUAAGUACGUCUUUGUUCGUAGGGAAGGUAAACGAACCGGACGUCC